AGGGUUAAAAAUUCACCUGCUCUCUGGGGUUCAUCCUUUCCCCUCCCACACAUUUAUUAUUGUCAAUUGAUCCCAAUGCACUGGAUGUAUUUCUGGCUCAAACCUGCUGUGACUGUUGCUCACAGUGAAUCAUAAGAGAUAUUAAAUGUAUUAGCCAGCCCUUGUGGUACACUCUGUUCCAGGAAAGCAUGGUAGCAAUGCUCAUCAUCCCAUCCUCGAUGGAAGCACCGAGGGAAAUAUCUCCCAGCAUGAGACCUGCCCUGGAAAUACUCACAUAAAGCCAGGUCCUCAAGAAAAUGGAAAGAAGAUUGGACCUUUCAGUGCCUCACACCUGAGCCAGACCCCAUUUGCUAGUUUUUCUGCAGCAAGAGCAUCCCAAGCAUUUGGAACCCAUCUGCAGCAACUGAAUAUCCAACAUUGCCCAAAAGGAUGUGAUGGAGGGAUCAGAGAUUUAAACUUCCUAUCCCCUGUGGCUCCUUACAAGAAUCAUUAAAAGCAGCCUUUUCAAACUUA